rnacentral:rRNA from 1 species
GACGAACGCUGGCGGCGUGCCUAAUACAUGCAAGUAGAACGCACAGUGGAUACCGUAGCUUGCUACACCAGAGACUGUGAGUUGCGAACGGGUGAGUAACGCGUAGGUAACCUGCCUGGUAGCGGGGGAUAACUAUUGGAAACGAUAGCUAAUACCGCAUAAUAUUGAUUAUUGCAUGAUAAUUAAUUGAAAGGUGCAAUUGCACCACUACCAGAUGGACCUGCGUUGUAUUAGCUAGUAGGUGAGGUAACGGCUCACCUAGGCGACGAUACAUAGCCGACCUUGGAGGGUGAUCCGGCCCCAUUGGACUGAGACACCGCCCCGACCCCCUCCGGAGGCAGCAGUAGGGAAUCUUCGGACAUGGACCAAAGUCCGGACGAGCAAAGGCGGGUGAGUGAAGAAGGGUUUCGGAUCGUAAAGCUCUGUUGUAAGGGAAGAAAGGGUGUGAGAGUGGAAAGUUCCCGCUGUGACGGUAUCUUAACAGAAAGCGACGGCUAACUACGUG